rnacentral:rRNA from 1 species
AAUAGAUACCCCGGUAGUCCAUGCCGUAAACGAUGUCUACUAGCCGUUGGGGCCUUUGAGGCUUUAGUGGCGCAGCUAACGCGAUAAGUAGACCGCCUGGGGAGUACGGUCGCAAGACUAAAACUCAAAUGAAUUGACGGGGGCCCGCACAAGCGGUGGAGCAUGUGGUUUAAUUCGAUGCAACGCGAAGAACCUUACCUGGUCUUGACAUAGUAAGAACUUUCCAGAGAUGGAUUGGUGCCUUCGGGAACUUACAUACAGGUGCUGCAUGGCUGUCGUCAGCUCGUGUCGUGAGAUGUUGGGUUAAGUCCCGCAACGAGCGCAACCCUUUUCCUUAUUUGCCAGCGGGUUAAGCCGGGAACUUUAAGGAUACUGCCAGUGACAAACUGGAGGAAGGCGGGGACGACGUCAAGUCAUCAUGGCCCUUACGACCAGGGCUACACACGUGCUACAAUGGUCGGUACAAAGGGUUGCUACCUAGCGAUAGGAUGCUAAUCUCAAAAAGCUGAUCGUAGUCCGGAUUGGAGUCUGCAACUCGACU